rfam:Manacus vitellinus contig35171, whole genome shotgun sequence.
AAACAGGCUUUUUUCAAAGCCACAUUCAUUUUGCAUAGAGCCAGC